GUUGUUUAUACCAGAAGACGGUGUGCUAACCGUAAGGAGGUAGCCGUUCAAGGUAUGGAUGAUGAUUGGGGUGAAGUCGUAACAAGGUAGCCGUAGGUGAACCUGCAGAAGGAUCA
rnacentral:rRNA from 1 species